rnacentral:lncRNA from 1 species
AUGAUAUGAUUGAAGAAGUUCCAGCUGUUGAUUAUCUUGUAGUCUCUUUUAGCUGUUCCUUAAAUAAAAAGAUAUUGUACGCAUUACUCAGUACAAGGAAACUUUGUGUGCGUUCUGAUUUAGUUGCUUCUACUACCAAGUUGUCUUCUCCGGCAAUUUUUUUUUCCGUGUUCUAGAUCAUGCUGCAGUUUAGUUGGCCCGACGCCUACAGUUUAGCUGGCUCGACGCCUUGUGUGCUCACUUUCGUCUUGCCAAGGUUAUGUCUUCCUCNNNNNNNNNNAUUUUUUUCCGUGGUCUAGAUCAUGCUGCAGUUUAGUUGGCCCGACGCCUACAGUCUAGCUGUCCCGACGCCUUGUGUGCUCACUUUCGUCUUGCCAAGGUUAUGUCUUCCUCCUUCACCCUUCUUUACAUUUGCUCAUUUCAUAUGCAGUAUUUUACUGAAUUGUGUGUGUUCCGUGUGCUGUGUCCUUUCUUCCUUACUAUUACUUAUUGUUGCUUGUUAUAUUUAUACCUUGUGUCCCGCUUAUCGUUGUCUCAUUGCUUUGUAUACCCCGGAUGGGUGCUGUCAUAUAUUUUUUCAUACCUAUUCUGGAAACCAUGGCAAAAAAUAUAUACUUAGACACAUAUCACUACUUUGUAUACCAAGGAUAAGAGCAGGAUAUGUGUUGUCAUAUCAUUGCUUUGUAUACUCAGGAUGUGUGCACUAGCUCUACCAAACUCACUUCCCUGCUUUCCUUUUUGUUGAAAGAACUGUGAGCUUAGUCCUGAACCGUAGUCCUGAACCUGCACUAAUUAUACUAAUCUUUAUUUUCACUUCAUUAUAUCACUCUGCUUUGAAUGGCUACAGUUUCAAGCUACCUCUGUAUUGAUGCGUAUAUGUUGUCGAGAGGAUCCAAUUUAAGUACUAUAAUGUAGCCAAUUAUUUCUUGGAUGUGGUAAACUUACACCUUCAUUCUAUUUUUAUUUUGCUCUUUUGUUGAGUACAUUUAGAUAUAAUUAGAAUCAUAGUAGCUUUUUGCUAACAUCUAAGGCCCUUUUUAAAUAGUUUGAUUUGGUGAGAAUGGAAUGUAUUUUGCCCGAGAGAGUACUCUUCCUUCAAGCAACAGAAAACAUAGAUGAUUUUGGUUUCAUCCUUUAAUUUUUUUUUCUUUCUGCACCUUUUGCAGACAUUAUAUAGUUCAACCGAGCCAUUGUGCUUAAUCAUCUUAUGUUGGUUGCUAUUGGUAUGUGGGAUAUGCAUCAAUGGAAUGAGCAGAGGANNNNNNNNNNCUUUUUGCACCUUUUGCUGACAUUAUAUAGUUCAACCGAGCCAUUGUGCUUAAUCAUCUUAUGCUGGUUGCUAUUGGUAUGUGGGAUAUGCAUCAAUGGAAUGAGCAGAGGAAUCCCCGAUCCUUCUACGACAUGUUCGAGAAGGGUCAGCUCAGCGUCAUUCUCGAGGAGCAAUUGGGUGCAGCCUUGCAAGGGCGCAUGAGGCUGGGCCUCCUCUAUUUCCGGUGAGUUCAUCCUAUUUUUUGUUCUCCUUCACUAGCUUUCAUUUUUAUGUAGUUAUUUCAUUUAUCCAUGACAUCGACCAUCCUCNNNNNNNNNNGCCCCGAUCCUUCUACGACAUGUUCGAGAAGGGUCAGAUCAGCGUCAUUCUCGAAGAGCAAUUGGGUGCAGCCUUGCAAGGGCGCAUCAGGCUGGGCCUCCUCUAUUUCCGGUGAGUUCAUCCUAUUUUUUUUCUCCUUCACUAGCAUUCAUUUUUAUGUAGUUAUUUCAUUUAUCCAUGACAUCGACCAUCCUCUGUUUUAGUUAUGAAGUAAUAACAAAUGUGUCGUGCAAUGCCUGUAGGAAAGAGUUUAUAUUAGUUGUUCCAGUCUUUGCCUAUACCUUUAUGGCGAGUAGGCUUAACUCUUUCGAACUGUAAUCUUGUCUUAGGUGGAUUCGUUUUUACAACCAACAGAAAAGAAUUGUGCCUUGGACCAUUUUUUUUNNNNNNNNNNAUAAUCUUGUCUUAGGUGGAUUUGUUUUUACAACCAACAGAAAAGAAUUGUGCCUUGGACCAUUUUUUUUUCUGUAAUUGAGAAAACUUUCAAGCUAUAAUCGUACGGGCUGAUCUGAUACAUUAUUAUUUGGCCCCACCAGAUUAACGGUUCAUAAUUACUGAUUAAUGUGGUAAUUUUUAGAGAGUUCCUAAUUAGUAUAAGUAUAGACUUCAAGAAUUAAUAGGUGCUAGAGGUACUAACAUUUUGUUCUUCUGUUUCCUAGGUUCAGAAAAUAAUGGAGAAGAUCUCAGAAAAAACAAGAACGCAGAUUGCUGCUAAGGGAUAUAUUCUUCAGGAUGGAUUUGUGAUGAGUAAUCUCCCUGUUCCACCGAGCAUGCAGGAACAUCAAGGGUAUGUAGAUAAUAUGCAAAUGAAGUGCN